CUCGAAGAAGAAGAGGGGUUCAAAUUCCGCCUCUCCUGGUCAUUUUGUCUCCUCUCUUUCCACAAAAAAUGUAUCUAGAGCUCCGCAUACAGAAACUGCCCCUUCUUUCCCUCCUUUCUCCCACCUGAACCCUAGAUUCUAACAAUUCCUCAUGCAGAUCCGAUAACAGACUUCUCCGCCAAUAAAAGGCCCUAGCUUUGGAAACUUUAAUAUGGCUGAGUUAGGGCAACAAACUGUCGACUUCUCCGUUCUGGUGAGUCGGGCCGCCGAGGAAUCUUUCCUAUCCUUGAAAGAAUUGGUUGACAAAUCCAAAUCCUCUGACCAAAUGGAUUCCGACAAGAAGAUUUACCUCUUGAAAUACUUGGUUAAGACACAGCAACGUAUGCUCAGACUCAAUGUACUUGCUAAGUGGUGCCAACAGGUUCGGUUAAUACAAUAUUGUCAGCAACUUCAGUCUACCCUAUCAAGUCAUGAGGCAUGUUUUACCCAAGCUGCAGAUUCGUUGUUUUUCAUGCAUGAGGGGCUACAGCAAGCUCGAGCACCUAUCUAUGAUGUUCCAUCUGCUAUAGAAGUCCUCCUUACUGGAUCUUAUCAGCGUUUGCCGAAAUGUAUGGAAGAUGUAGGUAUGCAGAGCACAUUAACUGAGGAGCAGCAGAAGCCAGCGCUGAAAAAGUUGGACGCACUUGUGCGUUCUAAGCUACUUGAAGUUACACUCCCAAAGGAAAUAUCUGAGGUGAAAGUUGCUGAUGGUACAGCAUUACUUCGUGUGAAUGGUGAAUUUAAGGUGUUAGUUACACUUGGUUACCGAGGGCACCUAUCAAUGUGGAGGAUUUUGUAUUUGGAGUUGCUUGUUGGUGAGAGAAGUGGACUUGUGAAACUGGAAGAAUUGCGACGGCAUGCUUUGGGAGAUGAUUUAGAGCGUAGAAUGGCAGGAGCAGAGAAUCCAUUUAUGAUAUUGUAUUCAGUUCUCCAUGAGCUUUGCAUUUCACUCAUUAUGGAUACUGUCAUAAGGCAAGUACAAGUACUACGUCAAGGAAGAUGGAAAGAUGCUAUUCGGUUUGAGCUCAUAUCGGAUGGGAGUACUGGAUCUACACAACUAAAUCAAGAUGGAGAAACUGAUUCAGCUGGUCUCCGAACACCUGGGUUGAAAAUUGUAUACUGGCUAGAUCUGGACAAAAGCUCUGGUACAUCUGAUUCAGGGACAUGCCCGUUUAUAAAAAUUGAACCAGGACCAGAUCUACAGAUAAAGUGUGUUCAUGGCGCUUUUGUUUUAGAUCCAGUAAAUGGUAGAGAGGCAGAAUUUUCCCUUGACCAAAGUUGCAUUGAUGUUGAAAAGUUGUUGUUAAGAGCAAUAUGUUGUAAUAGAUAUACUCGUCUGCUGGAAAUUCAGAAAGAGCUUGGAAAAAAUGCUCAAAUCUUUCGUGCGGCUGGUGAUGUUGUUCUUCAGACCCACAUGGAUGAACAUGAUGUUGACUACAAAAAGAAAGAAACUAAAACUGAUGGCAGGGAAUAUGAGGGACAGGAAGUACUACUUCGUAUUCGUGCCUAUGGCUCAUCAUUUUUUACACUUGGAAUAAAUAUAAGGAAUGGCCGCUUUCUUCUCAGUUCAUCCCAAAGUGUGCUUACUUCCUCAACAUUGCUAGAAUAUGAAGAAGCUUUAAAUCAAGGAAGUAUGACUGCUGCUGAAGUUUUUAUCAGCUUGAGAAGCAAAAGCAUUUUGCAUUUAUUUGCAUCUAUUGGCAGGUUUCUUGGCCUUGAGGUAUAUGAACAGGGUUUCAGUAUUGUAAAAGUACCUAAAACCCUUUUGAAUGGCUCAACCAUGUUGAUAAUGGGGUUUCCAGAUUGUGGGAGUUCUUAUUUUCUGCAUGUGCAACUAGAUAAAGAUUUCAAACCUCUGUUCAAGUUGCUGGAGACUCAGCCUGAUCCGUCUGGGAAAGGUCAUUCUUUUAAUGAUUCCAAUCAUGUGAUGCGCAUAAAAAAAGUUGAUGUCAACCAGAUGCAGAUGUUUGAAGAUGAGUUGAAUCUAAGCCUACUUGACUGGGGAAAAUUGACUGACUUUUUACCUGCUGGGGGUUCCAAUCAGACUUCUGAACACAGCCUUCUUUCUGAAUUCAGUCUCGAGGGUCCCAUGCAAAUUGCUGGAUUUCCUAUAUCAAGUUUUUCUUCUAUUGUUGAUGAAGUAUUUGAACUUGAGAAAGGGGCGUCAGCACCUUCAUUUCCUCUUCAGAAUCUUACAUCUUACAAUGCAUCUCCUGCUUCUCGUUUUGGCUCUGUUCCGAUUAAUCUUCAUGCUGCUAAAGCUGGAAAUCCCUCUCCCAAGUGGGAAGGAGGUCUUCAGGUAUCUCAGAUGAGCAAUGUUGUAAAAGUUUCAAGUACAGCUUCCCAUUAUAAUGGUUCAUUAUAUCCAUCAAACAAUCUGAAAGGUCCGAUACACUCCAAUUCAUAUGGUUCACUAUCUUCUGGUUUAGGAAGGGGCACAACUGUAAAAAAGUUAUCAGCUUCAAAAUCUGAUCAGGAUUUGGCUUCUCUUAGAUCUCCACAUUCUGUGGAGGUUGGUUCUAGUUCCUCAGUUGAUGAAGAUCAUCUGAGACUGCUGAAUGAGACAUCAAUGGAUGCCCUAUCAGGAAGUAGAUCAUCCCGACUAUUAUCUCCAUCUCAGUCUACUGGCCCUCGAGCCUCUACACCGGGUGCAAAACCCAGUGGACUGAGAAGCUCCCCUACUGGGCCUCUAGCUGGUUCAGUUAGAGGUACUGGAUCAAGCUCAUUAGCCACAACCCCCGUAUCUCAGGCAGCAGGAGACACUGCAGUCUUUCAUGGCUCUGGUCAUAAUGUUUCCAAACCUGACAAAAAUCCAAGAAAACGUACAGUUUCAGAUAUGCUAAAUUUGAUUCCGUCACUCCAAGAUAUUGAUUCUAAGGCAGGAUUUUCAAAGAGGAAGAAGACCUCAGAAUCAACGCUCUCUCAGCAGCAUUCAUCGCAGAUGCUUGUAUCGUCAGAGAUGAUGUUUAAAAAUGAAGGAUACAGUUAUGGAGAUGUAAUAGCUGAAGCAAAUAAGGGAAAUGCACCUUCAAGCAUUUAUGUCUCUGCUCUUCUACAUGUGGUUAGACAUUGUUCAGUUUGUAUUAAACAUGCCAGAUUAACCAGCCAGAUGGAUGCUCUGGAGAUUCCAUAUGUUGAAGAGGUUGGACUGAGAAAUGCAUCCUCAAAUAUAUGGUUCCGACUUCCAUUUGCCCGAGGCGAUUCAUGCCAGCACAUUUGCUUGCGGCUUGGUAGACCAGGAAGCAUGUAUUGGGAUGUCAAAAUUAAUGAUCAACACUUCCGAGAUUUAUGGGAGCUUCAGAAGGGCAGCAGCAGCACACCUUGGGGCUCUGGAGUUCGUAUUGCCAAUACGUCUGAUGUGGACUCCCAUAUCUGUUAUGAUCCAGAAGGUGUUGUUCUGAGAUAUCAGUCUGUUGAGGCUGAUAGCAUAAAGAAGUUAGUAGCAGAUAUUCGAAGGCUUUCUAAUGCUAGAAUGUUUGCCAUUGGAAUGCGUAAGCUCCUUGGAGUAAAAUUGGAUGAGAAAUCAGAUGAAAAUAGUGCAAACUCUGAUAUUAAAGUGCCAUUUGGAGGUAAAAGUGGUGUUGAGGCAGCUGAUAAGUUAUCAGAGCAGGUGAGGAGGGCAUUUAAAAUAGAAGCAGUUGGACUAAUGAGUUUGUGGUUCACUUUUGGCUCUGGUGUGCUUGCUCGCUUUGUCGUUGAGUGGCAAUCAGGUAAAGAGGGAUGCACAAUACAUGUUUCUCCUGACCAACUAUGGUCGCAAACUAAGUUUUUGGAAGACUUUAUAAAUGGUGCUGAAGUUGCAUCCCUUUUGGAUUGCAUUCGCCUCACCGCAGGACCUUUACAUGCUCUGGCAGCUGCUACUCGUCCUGCACGAGCUGGUCCUGCUCCUGGGGUCCCUGUGGUAGCUUCAGCUAUUGCUUCUAUGCCGAAACAGGCAGGGUAUGUGCAAUCCCAGGGAGUUUUGCCUAGCAUUUCUGCUAACAAUGUUAAUCAGCAAAAUUCUGGCCCCAUAGGGAAUACUGUUACAUCUACUGGUACUGUCCCUCUUGGGAAUAUUAGCCUCCAUGGUACUGCAAUGUUAGCUGCUACUGGUCGAGGGGGUCCUGGCAUUGUUCCUAGCUCAUUGUUGCCAAUUGAUGUUUCUGUUGUGCUACGUGGUCCAUACUGGAUCCGAAUUAUUUAUCGCAAGCAUUUUGCAGUUGACAUGAGAUGCUUUGCCGGAGAUCAGGUUUGGUUACAACCAGCAACACCACCUAAGGAAGGCCCAAAAUUUGGAGGUUCACUGCCUUGUCCACAAUUUCGCCCUUUCAUAAUGGAGCAUGUUGCCCAAGAAUUGAAUGGAUUAGAUCCGGGCUUUGCUGGUAGUCAACAGACAGUUGGACCAGUUAAUUCUAAACCCUCAAAUCCUGGUUCACUUUCUCAAUUAUCAGGUGCUAAUGGAAAUAGAGUUACUUUGCCUAGUUCUGCAGUACUUUCUAGGGCAGCUACCCAAGUUGCUGCUCUAAAUCGGGUUGGAAAUGCAGUUCCGGGAUCUUCAAAUUUGGCUGUCAUGAGCUCAGGAUUGCCUAUACGUAGAUCCCCUGGUGCUGGUGUCCCUGCUCAUGUGAGAGGAGAACUAAAUACAGCCAUUAUCGGUCUUGGUGAUGAUGGAGGGUAUGGAGGUGGCUGGGUUCCUCUUGUGGCUCUUAAGAAGGUUCUAAGGGGUAUUCUUAAGUAUCUUGGAGUGCUUUGGCUAUUUGCCCAGUUACCAGAUCUUCUGAAAGAAAUCCUAGGAUCAAUCUUGAAGGACAAUGAAGGUGCACUCUUGAAUUUGGACCAGGAACAACCAGCCUUGCGCUUCUUUGUGGGAGGCUAUGUAUUUGCUGUAAGUGUCCACAGAGUUCAACUUCUUCUUCAGGUUCUCAGUGUCAAACGCUUUCAUCAUCAACAGCAGCAACAACAGCAACAGAGUUUUGUAUCCCAAUCAUCUCCUUUCUUGUGCUUAUUAUCAGAAGAUUUUGCCACCCAAAUUAAACGCCAAAGAGAUGAGAUAGACCAAUUCCUUCAAGCUCAGGGAGAGCAUUUGAGGCGCACAUUAGCCGAUAAGAGGAAGAUGCACUAUCGUGCGCUGCUGAGCGUAGCGGAGGAAUCAAUAACCAGGCGAUUGAA
rnacentral:misc_RNA from 1 species